AUUCAGGAAUAUGACAAAAGGAGAUUUGAACACGAACAGUAUCCGCUGAUGAGAGCAGGUUCACACUGACCACGUGUGACAGACCUGAAAGAAUCUGGAGCUGUGGUGAACGUCGUGCUGCCUGCAACAUCAUCCAGCAUGACUGGUUUGGUGGGACUGUUCUCUGUAAACCCUAGAGAUGUUUGUGCAGGAAAAUAGACCAGCACUUAAUGCAGUAGAUCCAUCACGUCUCCCACUGUACCAGCUUCCUCUUCUGGCCCGUUGCAGCUCCAGCAUUUGUCAUCACCGGUCUGCUAGCUGCCACCGCCCCCUUUUCCAUUAUCCAAC
ensembl:lncRNA